rnacentral:rRNA from 3 species
UACGUAGGUGGCAAGCGUUAUCCGGAAUUAUUGGGCGUAAAGAGGGAGCAGGCGGCAGCAAGGGUCUGUGGUGAAAGCCUGAAGCUUAACUUCAGUAAGCCAUAGAAACCAGGCAGCUAGAGUGCAGGAGAGGAUCGUGGAAUUCCAUGUGUAGCGGUGAAAUGCGUAGAUAUAUGGAGGAACACCAGUGGCGAAGGCGACGAUCUGGCCUGCAACUGACGCUCAGUCCCGAAAGCGUGGGGAGCAAAUAGG